UGUGUUUUAUAAGUCAUUUCAAAAUGUUUGAAACAAAAAUGCUAAAGCAUUGAAACUGGAUAUCAAUACCAGGUACAAUACUAAGACUACUUAUGCCCACCAGAUGAAGGCACUUGAAGAAAGAGAAGUAGAAACAUCAUUAGAGGUCUUGGCUCAAACCCACUUCAUCGUCCUAAGAAAGCAAAGUUAGGACAUCAGCCAAAUAUUAUAGAGUUUCAAACAUCACAAGUGACAUAUGAUAUAAAAACAAAUAUAAUAAUAAUGCUUCACUGAUAAAAAAUAUGAAAAUUAAAUAGUUGAGAUUCAUUUCAUGGGGUAUUGAAUAGUUUGAGAAAACUUUAAGGGAGAGAACAGAGAUAUUCCAGUGAUGCUUCUUCUUUCCAUGACGUUAUUUCCAAAGGAUUUUAUCAACCCACAAAAUAGUAAUCCCACGGUAACUUAUAUGGCAUCCCAAGAACAAAAUAAUCUAUGAAUGCCAAUGACAGAAUGAACUAUGCUAGACCUAAAUGAGAAAAUUAUGAAUUAACUACAUCAACUCCAAAAUUAAAAAAUAUGCAAAGAAAGUCAUUCAUAUAUUCAUUCAGUAACAAUCAUCUGCAGCCUAGUCGGACUUACGUCAAACAACUUGCGUACACAAAUUUAAAAGCUGCAAAAAUUGAACUGCAGCGGCACAAAUUGUUGAAUAUAAAUCUGAAUGGCUAUCGGUUCAAUAUGAAGUGGGAAAUCCUUUCUGUCGAUGCCCUUCAAAUUCUUAAGAUUAAGUGAAUUACAUUAGAGAAAAUAGGAUACGGGAAUUUAUGUACCUUGCUAUGCUGAUGCUAAGGAUAGAUGAGAUGCCUCGUUUGAUGACUUCCCAAGGGCUUCCAAGGGCGGAGACCAAUCAUGAUGUAGUUUGUGAGAUAUAUAUUAAGGUCACCAUACAUGUUCAGCAACGGAGUUUCAACAGGCGGCGAGCUCAUCGACUGCGCUCAGUGCUCGCGGCGUGCAGCCUGCGCUUGUUGUUGGCCUAAUAGUAAAAGACCUUACCAAAGAAGAGAAAAAACUUUAUAGAACGGAGAUGUAGCUCACACCUAAUAACUAAGGUAUGUGUCGGCCUUGCCACUCUCCUACAGACUACAUUAUACAGUGGUCAAGAAAUUCAUCUUCGAUUAGCACUCCAUGUUAACUAACCUGAUUGCCAUUGCAAAUAGUCAACCCAUCAAUAUCUCUUCAAAUAAAAUUCCAGAACCAGCCUUGAAUAGUCCCCAAACAAUAUACCAUAACCUGCAGCAAAAAGAGAAAAGAUAAAACAGAUUUAGGACGAGUAGGACUGAUUAGAUGGAAAAGGUAACGGGGAGGAAAAAAAUAUGCAGAUAGCAGCCUGGUUUAGAAGGCCAGUUGACAUGGUAUUGAGGGACGGACAUAGCUCAUAUACAUACCAGAGCAAAAUUGUACCGCACCUCCACCAUCCGUCACCAUCGCUCCCUCGACUGCCAUUAAUUGAUAUAUACAAAACAAGCGAGCACUUUACUCCUCGCUUGAAAAACGGCGGAUGAACUUCCCUGCAUCGGCCGGUGAGAUCUUCUCCGCAUCGAUUGGCGAGCCCCACACUGUAUGCACAAGUGAUCUGAGCAAUCGUGGGGCAUAAAACCAUGGACAGUAAAACAUGCAAGGAUUAGGUAUGGGGUAAUUAUCUGCUCAAAAGCCAUAUGGGAUUAUGAGUUGCUGAAGUAAAAUAUAAAAAAAAUCGAUUAACAGUCUCAAAGAUAUGCCCAUGUCAAUUGAUCACAACCAGCAUAUAUAUCACCUGUAUGCACUAUGCACAAGGGAUUGAGAGGAAAUCAGCAAAUGCAAUUAUUUGGUAGAAGAAGGAAUCGUACAUGAACUGGAAGGAAGUACAGGG
rnacentral:lncRNA from 1 species